rnacentral:rRNA from 1 species
CCGGACCUGACUGCUAUCGGAUUUGGUACUAAGCCAUGCGAGUCGUUGUAGCAAUACAAGGCGGACGGCUCAGUAACACGUAGUCAACCUAACCUAUGGACGUGGAUAACCUCGGGAAACUGAGAAUAAACCGCGAUAGAUCAUUAUGCCUGGAAUGGCUUAUGGUUCAAACAAUUUAUUGCCGUAGGAUGGGACUGCGGCCUAUCAGCUUGUUGGUGAGGUAAUGGCCCACCAAGGCUAUAACAGGUACGGGCUCUGAGAGGAGAAGCCCGGAGAUGGGUACUGAGACACGGACCCAGGCCCUAUGGGGCGCAGCAGGCGAGAAACCUUAGCAAUGUGCGAAAGCACGACUAGGUUAAUCCGAGUGAUUUCUGUUGAAGAAAUCUUUUGUCAGUCGUAAAACCACAGACGAAUAAGGGGUGGGCAAGUCUGGUGUCAGCCGCCGCGGUAAUACCAGCACCUCGAGUGGUCAGGAGGUUUAUUGGGCCUAAAGCAUCCGUAGCCGGCUUUGCAAGUCUCCGGUUAAAUCCAGCUGCUCAACAGAUGGGGCUGCCGGAGAUACUACAAAGCUAGGGAGCGGGGAGAGGCAGACGGUAUUCUGUGGGGUAGGGGGUAAAAUCCUUUGAUCCAUAGAGGGACCACCAGUGGCGAAGGCGGUCUGCCAGAACGCGUUCGACGGUGAGGGAUGAAAGCUGGGGGAGCAAACCGGAUUAGAUACCCGGGUAGUCCCAGCUGUAAACGAUGCAAACUCGGUGAUGCAUUGGCUUAUGGCCAAUGCAGUGCCGCAGGGAAGCCGUUAAGUUUGCCGCCUGGGAAGUACGGACGCAAGUCUGAAACUUAAAGGAAUUGGCGGGGGAGCAC